rnacentral:rRNA from 1 species
CCUACGGGGCGCAGCAGUGAGGAAUAUUGGCCAAUGGGCGGGAGCCUGAACCAGCCAAGUCGCGUGAGGGACGACGGUCCUAUGGAUUGUAAACCUCUUUUGUCGGGGAACAGAGGCGCCCACGGGUGGGCGGAUGAGUGUACCCGAAGAAAAAGCAUCGGCUAACUCCGUGCCAGCAGCCGCGGUAAUACGGAGGAUGCGAGCGUUAUCCGGAUUUAUUGGGUUUAAAGGGUGCGCAGGCGGCCUGUUAAGUCAGCGGUAAAAGCCCGGGGCUCAACCCCGGCGAGCCGUUGAAACUGGCGGGC